GGUGGGGAGGGAAGGCUGCGGUGGAGUCAGUGUGAGUCUGGAGCAGCAGCUGUGGGGAGGGUGUCCAGCUGAUAGAGGAAACUAUUAAACCCAAACACACAUUCUAAUGCAACUCAGCUGUGUACAAGCAGUACGGGUGUUGCAGCCCUGAGCACCGGAGAGAGGAGACAAGGGCUUGCUUCUGGAAAUCUGUCUUAAGUUAAAUCAUAUACUUAGCGCUUUUGAGGGAGCGCUUUGGUCCUAUGGACUAAGGUUGCGCUGUGUGAGCAGAGUGCCCAUAAGUGAAGUGUGCCCAAAUACACAUACCCUAUCUCCCUUGGCUUUAUUGUGGUUCUAACUGAUCAUGGAGGUGUUGGAAAAUGGGGAGCAGAACCUGUUGCACUGGGAUCGAAAGCUGAGUGAGCUGUCAGAACUGGUGGACUCCGAUUCCCUGCUAAACAACACGCACUUCACGGAGUUCCUGGAUGAGUUCUCUCAGGAUGUCCUGGGCCAGCUCUUGAAUGACCCCUUCUUGUCUGAGAAAAAUGAGAUGAUGGAGGUGGAGCUGUCCCCCGCCUCUCCAGCGCCCCUCAUCCAGGCAGAACAUAGCUACUCCCUGUGCGGCGACUCCCGUCCCCAGUCCCCACUGACCCACGUUUCGACUGACGACAACUUCAAUGAAGGUGACCUGGAAAGUGAGGAAUGGUGUCUGGGAGCAGAAUUGACCUCAGCGACCAUAAAAACUGAACCCACGCUGUGUGAGGCACCAGGCCUUACCCCCUCGGUCAGUCUCACCAUCACACCCACGCCACUGGAAGGGGAAGAAUCCCAACUGCAGUCUGAUGCCACGAUGAAACCGUUGAACCAGAAGGUUCUUCCAGAGAUUAAAUUGGAGCCACAUGAAGUAGAUCAGUUCCUGAACCUGUCUUCUAAGGAAGCAAUGGAUCCUCUGCAUCUGCCUCCAACCCCUCCCAGCAGCCAUGGCAGUGACUCUGAGGGGGGACAGAGCCCAACUAGGUCCCUCCCACCUUCAAGCCCUGUCCAAUUACAAGCCACAGCUAAAGUGACAUCACGCAUGGCUUCAGCACUCUCUAAUUCGCCUCUCCUGACAGCACCACAUAAGCUUCAGGGAACUGGUCCCCUGAUCUUGACAGAAGAAGAGAAGAGAACACUGAUAGCAGAGGGUUACCCUAUUCCUACAAAGCUACCCCUGACAAAGGCAGAGGAAAAAGCACUGAAGAAGAUCCGCAGGAAAAUCAAGAACAAGAUCUCUGCCCAGGAAAGUAGGAGAAAGAAGAAAGAAUACAUGGACAGCCUGGAAAAAAAGGUUGAGUCCUGCUCAAAUGAAAACAGUGAGCUGCGUAAGAAAGUGGAAGUCCUUGAGAACACAAACAGAACUCUUCUGCAGCAGUUACAGAGACUCCAAGCCAUGGUUGCUGGUAAAGUGUCCCGUUCCUAUAAAGCAGCCAGCACUCAGACAGGGACCUGUCUCAUGGUGGUGGUGCUAUGCUUUGCAGUCAUUUUUGGUAGCUUCUCUCAGACCUACAGCCCCUAUCCUUCUGCCACAAAGAUGGUGCUGCCUAGCCAGCAUUCCACACCAGAGUCAUACACGGCCUCCAUCGUACGGUCAAGAAGCCUGCUAAUUUACGAAGAGCCUCACCAACUGGAAGAGCAGUAUGGUUCAAUCUCCUUUGCAGAUCGCAGUGACGUUUGGGACAGGCGGCUGGAUGCGUCCAAACACACAGCCCUAUCUCUGGAAUCCGUGCCAGGGGCACAGCAGGACAAAGUCACUCACUUCACAAUAGCCAACGAAACAAGGCUAGAGAAAUCAGUGUUGCUAGGACUGCAGCCGCACAGAGUCAGCUCAGAGCUGGAAGUGAAUGAAACACUGAAAAUAAUUGAAAUUGAUAGACGAGUUAAUGCCACUUCUUAAAAAAAAAAAGAGGCUUCCCUCCCUCAUUAUCUUCCCUUCUUUUCAACCAAAGUCCCACCCCUUCCUCAUGCCAUCAGUGAACCAACGGGCAAAAGAGAGAGUGGCUGCCAACUUCUGAAUCGGCUGAAGAGCCUGUGACUUUAGUCAGCAGCAUUUGUCCUCGUUCUGUCGUGUUCUUCGAGCACACAAACCUACGUCCUCUUCUACUGCUCUCCCUGACUGGUAACACAAGGGAGGGUUGGAAUCCUACAGUAGGGGUACAGCUGGUUAUUUUGUGUUUGUACCUACUCAGGGGGCAGAGACGUAGAAUGGUGGAGUAGAGUAAAUGGAACUUUCCUGGGAACAUGACUAGUAGGUCACUUGGGAGAAGGAAACUGAAAACAGCAAAGAGAUAUACAGUGUGACACUGCUCAGAUUUGGCCACAGCUCCAUGCCAAUCACUCUGCCAUUGGAGCUUUAUGGGGAGAGAAAUGUGUCCACAGUUCCCAUCUCUCCCACCAAUGGCAGAGAACAGACACUAAUCCUGUUGGGUCAACAACACAGACAGGAGAGUCUCUUCAAUUGCAAUAUUGUCAUCUUUUUUCUUUUCGCUGCUUCUCUCUCCCAUUUCCUACCCCUUUUUCACUUGGGCCAUCCUUAUGAAGGAUCUGAACAACAUUCAGUCAGUCCUUGUGUCUCCUCAGGCCUUGUCUACAUCUGCACCAAUUUAACAACAUCAUUUUAGAAACUGAGUUUAAAAUGUGCAACUUCCUCAUAUGGAAAUUAUUUUAAAAGAUUCUGACUAGUAUAUUGUAUCCAUUUAGCUUAAGCUGUUUCAUCGCUGGCAUAAACUAAAUCAAUACAAGGCUCAAAUCAAAAUAAGUGUGUCCACAUUAGCAGAUUGCAUGGAUUGAAUUACAUUUUAGAUGCAUCGGUGCAGUUAUUUGAGGUAGACAAGGCCUCAGAUUG